UGGGGAAUUUUGGACAAUGGGCGAAAGCCUGAUCCAGCAAUGCCGCGUGUGUGAAGAAGGCCUUCGGGUUGUAAAGCACUUUUGUCCGGAAAGAAAUCCUUGGCUCUAAUACAGUCGGGGGAUGACGGUACCGGAAGAAUAAGCGCCGGCUAACUACGUGCCAGCAGCCGCGGUAAUACGUAGGGUGCAAGCGUUAAUCGGAAUUACUGGGCGUAAAGCGUGCGCAGGCGGUUUGCUAAGACCGGUGUGAAAUCCCCGGGCUCAACCUGGGAACUGCAUUGGUGACUGGCAGGCUAGAGUAUGGCAGAGGGGGGUAGAAUUCCACGUGUAGCAGUGAAAUGCGUAGAGAUGUGGAGGAAUACCGAUGGCGAAGGCAGCCCCCUGGGCCAAAUACUGACGCUCAUGCACGAAAGCGUGGGGAGCAAACAGGAUUAGAUACCCUGGUAGUCCACGCCCUAAAACGAUGUCAACUAGUUGUUGGGGAUUCAUUUCCUUAGUAACGUAGCUAACGCGUGAAGUUGACCGCCUGGGGAGUACGGUCGCAAGAUUAAAACUUAAAUGAAUUGACGGGGUCAUAGCUGUUUCC
rnacentral:rRNA from 1 species